CAAAAACAAUAUCAGCUAAGAAGUUAACACUAGUUAUCAGCUGAGGGCCACAGGUCUGCAUUGCUUUGUUUAAUACGUCUUUUGAAGAUCUUGUGCACACUUUCAGUAUUUUAGUAUAGGAGUAGCUAAGCAUUACUAUUGUUGACCCCACCAGGCUUGAAGUAAUGAAAAAUCCAUAAAUAUUGUUCACUGUAGUAUCAACACAGGAGAGUCUCACUACGGACCAGUUAUCACAGUAGACCUUCAUUAUUAAUGAG